GGUCCCGUAGCAAAAUGGCUAUUGCGUCAGACUUCGGAUCUGGAGGUUGUGGGUUCGAGUCCCAUCGGGAUCG